rnacentral:rRNA from 1 species
GCGCAGCCUACACAUGCAGUCGAGCGGAUGAAGGGAGCUUGCUCUCUGAUUUAGCGGCGGACGGGUGAGUAAUGCCUAGGAAUCUGCCUGGUAGUGGGGGAUAACGUUCCGAAAGGAACGCUAAUACCGCAUACGUCCUACGGGAGAAAGCAGGGGACCUUCGGGCCUUGCGCUAUCAGAUGAGCCUAGGUCGGAUUAGCUAGUUGGUGAGGUAAUGGCUCACCAAGGCGACGAUCCGUAACUGGUCUGAGAGGAUGAUCAGUCACACUGGAACUGAGACACGGUCCAGACUCCUACGGGAGGCAGCAGUGGGGAAUAUUGGACAAUGGGCGAAAGCCUGAUCCAGCCAUGCCGCGUGUGUGAAGAAGGUCUUCGGAUUGUAAAGCACUUUAAGUUGGGAGGAAGGGCAGUAACCUAAUACGUUGCUGUUUUGACGUUACCGACAGAAUAAGCACCGGCUAACUUCGUGCCAGCAGCCGCGUAAUACGAAGGGUGCAAGCGUUAAUCGGAUUACUGGGCGUAAAGCGCGCGUAGGUGGUUCGUUAAGUUGGAUGUGAAGCCCCGGGCUCAACCUGGGAACUGCAUCCAAAACUGGCGAGCUAGAGUACGGUAGAGGGUGGUGAAUUUCCUGUGUAGCGGUGAAAUGCGUAGAUAUAGGAAGGAACACAGUGGCGAAGCCGACCACCUGCCUGAUACUGACACUGAGGUGCAAAGCGUGGGAGCAACAGCAUUAGAUACCCUGGUAGUCCACGGCGUAAC